GCCUUUUUAGCUCAGAGGUAGAGCUUUGUAUUUGUAAUGCAAUGGUCGUCGGUUCGAAUCCGACAGAGGGCU
rfam:Genlisea aurea contig_557, whole genome shotgun sequence.